UACGUAGGGGGCAAGCGUUGGUCCGGAAUCAUUGGGCGUAAAGCGCGCGUAGGCGGCCAGAUUAGUCCGGUGUGAAAGUCAGAGGCUCAACCUUUGAAUGCCGCUGGAAACUGUCUGGCUUGAGUCCGGAAGGGGCGAGUGGAAUUCCUGGUGUAGCGGUGAAAUGCGCAGAUAUCAGGAGGAACACCAAUGGCGAAGGCAGCUCGCUGGAACGGUACUGACGCUGAGGCGCGAAAGCGUGGGGAGCAAACAGG
rnacentral:rRNA from 1 species